UACGUAGGGUGCAAGCGUUGUCCGGAAUUAUUGGGCGUAAAGAGCUCGUAGGCGGUUUGUCGCGUCUGCUGUGAAAACUCGGGGCUUAACUCCGGGCCUGCAGUGGGUACGGGCAGACUAGAGUGCGGUAGGGGAGACUGGAAUUCCUGGUGUAGCGGUGAAAUGCGCAGAUAUCAGGAGGAACACCGGUGGCGAAGGCGGGUCUCUGGGCCGUAACUGACGCUGAGGAGCGAAAGCGUGGGGAGCGAACCGG
rnacentral:rRNA from 1 species